rnacentral:rRNA from 1 species
AAUCUGGCGCUAUGGUUGAAAGCCUGACGCAGUCAUGCCGCGUGAACGAUGAUGGNCUNNGGAAUNUNAAAUUCUUUCACCGGNNNNNAUAAUGAUGGUACCCGGAGAAGAAGCACCGGUCAACCUCGUCCCAGCAGCGGCGGUAAGACGAAGGGGGCUAGCGUUGCUCGGAAUUACUAGGCGUAAAGGGCGCGUAGGCGGACAUUUAACUCAGGGGUGAAAUCCCAGAGCUCAACUCUGGAACUGCCUUUGAUACUGGGUGUCUUGAGUGUGAGAGAGGUAUGUGGAACUCCGAGUGUAGAGGUGAAAUUCGUAGAUAUUCGGAAGAACACCAGUGGCGAAGGCGACAUACUGGCUCAUUACUGACGCUGAGGCGCGAAAGCGUGGGGAGCAAACAG